GGAGGGUGCAAGCGUUGUUCGGAAUUACUGGGCGUAAAGCGCGUGUAGGCGGCCUUGCAAGCCAGACGUGAAAGCCCUCGGCUUACCGGGGAAGUGCGUCUGGAACUGCUCGGCUCGAGUACGGGAGAGGGAGGCGGAAUUCCAGUGUAGAGGUGAAAUUCGUAGAUAUUGGGAGGAACACCGGUGGCGAAAGCGGCCUCCUGGACCGAUACUGACGCUGAGACGCGAAAGCGGUGGGGAGCAAACAGGAUUAGAUCCCUUGGUAGUCCACGCGGUAAACGAUGGGCACUUAGGUGUGGGGGGAAUCCACUUCCUCCCGUGCCGCAGCUAACGCACUAAGUGCCCCGCCUGGGGAGUACGGCCGCAAGGUUA
rnacentral:rRNA from 1 species